rnacentral:piRNA from 1 species
UGCAGAUGAGGUGCAGGUGUUCGCUC